CCCAGACUCCUACGGGAGGCAGCAGUGAGGAAUAUUGGUCAAUGGGCGGGAGCCUGAACCAGCCAAGUCGCGUGAAGGAUGACGGCCCUACGGGUUGUAAACUUCUUUUGUCAGGGAGCAAUUGGGUCCACGCGUGGGCUUAGCGAGAGUACCCGGAGAAAAAGCAUCGGCUAACUCCGUGCCAGCAGCCGCGGUAAUACGGAGGAUGCGAGCGUUAUCCGGAUUUAUUGGGUUUAAAGGGUGCGUAGGCGGGCUUUUAAGUCAGCGGUAAAAAUUCGGGGCUCAACCCCGUCCGGCCGUUGAAACUGGGGGCCUUGAGUGGGCGAGAAGAAGGCGGAAUGCGUGGUGUAGCGGUGAAAUGCAUAGAUAUCACGCAGAACUCCGAUUGCGAAGGCAGCGCACCGGCGCCCUACUGACGCUCAGGCACGAAAGCGUGGGUAUCGAACAGGAUUAGAUACCCCUGUAU
rnacentral:rRNA from 1 species